rnacentral:tRNA from 2 species
AGGGGUGUAGCUCAAUUGGCAGAGCGCCGGUCUCCAAAACCGGAGGUUGCGAGUUCGAUUCCCGCCGCCCCUGCCA